UUCCCACUUUCUAGUUAGUGGGUUUUGUUUUUUUCUGGUUUGGUUGGUUGUUUUUUAUUGUUGUUGUUGUUUUUGUUGUUGUUUGUUGUUAUCAUUUGUUAUUGUUGUUGGUUGUUGCUGUUGUUUCAACUUCGGUCUCGUUACUUUAGCUUUCAGUCCCAGUUUUUUCAAGCUCAUCCCUCAGUUCUUUGGAUGUCGCUUUCUACCCUGUUUCCUCUGGUCGGUUACCCUUCCCAGGUUGCUCCAUCAGUCUCAUGCUCAUCACUGUCAAAUCUGUUUGUGUCACAGAGCUACUGGGACAGUUUGAACACAGAGCACGGGCCCUGUGCUUACAGCAAGGAUGAAUCAUUGUCCACAGGCUCUAAUGGAUAACAUAAAGAAUAAAAUCCCCCACACUUAGGGAUGGCUGACCAUUAGUCCAAAGGUCAUUUAACAAUGAAAACACUGUAUUCUUCAACUCUAAAGCUACUUUCCAUUCUUGCCUUUGACAGGCUUAUUUAAUAAGAUUUUCCUGGGUCUUAAGUUAUGUCCUGCCUGCUCAUUUAUCACUUUCUUCUAAAGGAUUUUACUAAAUUAAUAGGACAUUAACUAAUAUUAAUAGGAUUUUUUUUGUCCUGAAUUUUUUUAAAAAGCAGUAAUAGCAUGUAAAAAUACCACUUAUUGCUGGAAAUAUAGCAUGAAUGUUACAAUGCUGGGGGGAAUAUCUAUGUUAUAGUUACUCUAAUAAAAUGCAAAAAGCUAAGCAUUAUUAUCUUCACUGCAUAAAUAAGAAUACAGAGGCCUAAAGAGGUUGAAUUGAUAGUCCAGUAGCAUAUUACCCUCUAAUUCCCAAAGCCCUAGUCUGACUCCAAAAUAUAUCCCUGCCCACCGUGAUCUGAAAACCUUUUAGCCUGUUAAAUCCAUUUCUAGGCACUGUCGAGAGCACAUGCUCACUACUUCCUGUGCUGACUCCUAAGCAUUUAUCACUAGCUAUGUUGUCUAUAGAUGAAUAAGCUCCAUUGUCACAGCAGGCUGGGCAACCCAGGGGAACACUGGUACCAAGUACCAAACAGGAGCAGCUCAGAGUUCAUCUCACUCACAAGACCUCGUUGCAUUUGGGGCAGCGAUACUUAUCCUACCACAAAUAUUUCUUCUUUUUUCUAAAAGGAAAAGAAAUCAAGAGACUGGGACAUGGCUCAUCCUCACACCUAAGACAUCAACUUCCUUGCUCCUGAAAUCAUAGCACCUACCUACCGAAAAGAAAGCAGAAGUUACUAGAUCAUUCGGUGGCAUUGUAGGUCCCAUUUAACUUUCUGUAAGGUUCACUGUUAUGGUCCAACAGGAAAGAAGUCAUUCCAUCUUUCUCAGCCGAACAAAAGGAAAUCCAUUUGUGAAAAGUUAGAGAGUGAACCACAAGGUGAUUUGAAAAUGAAGAAAGUCUUGGACUGAUGAAACAUUCCCAACUGAAUUUGCCAAGUAGUUUUCUGGACUUUAAAAUACGGUUUCUCAUUAAGACAAUAUUAUGAAUGGAUUAACAACAUAUUUACAUUUGGGAGACAGGAGCCCAGUAGAGGGAGAUCUGUCAACCUACUGCAAAGAACUUUGGGAUUUCUCAAGCCUUUAAAGCAGUGGUUCUCAACCUUCCUAACGCCGCGACCCUUUAACACAGCUCCCCAUGUUGUGGUGACCCCCAGCCAUAAAAUUAUUACGUUGCUACUUCAUGACUGUAAUUUUGCUACUGUUGUGAAUCGUAAAUCGUGCAAAUAUCUGAUACUCAGGAUAUCUGAUAUGCAACCCCAGAGGAGUCUCAGGCCACAGGUUGCGGACCACUGAUUGAGAAGUUGGUAGUGUGGGUUGGUUAUGGCUAGCUUCCAAACUUAUGCACUUCCUAGAGCCAAGAAUCUGAUGGCGACUUCCAACCUAGAGAGUCGGAGAAAGUGAAGGAUAGAAGGAACAGAAGAUAGCUUAUCAUGAAGUAACAAACAAUUAGAGGAGACCAAGAAAUGGGAAGAAGGAGAAACAAAUCCGGUGUUUAAAGAUCAAAGACCACGGUGAGAUUCCAGGAAACAAUGCUUGCCGGUUCCUAAUGUCCCUAAAACCACGUCUGAGGGUGGAUGACCCAGGGAAGCAUCUUCACUCAACGUCUUGUGAAUGGAUCUGCUGGUCACAACAAGGAUGUUGAUGAGCUGAAAGAGUAACUGAAACCAAGCUGGUGGUAAACUUAGAACCAGAAGUCAGCAGCUUCUGCGGUGACUCGUGGGGAUUUUGCAACUGCGCAGACUCCCAUAAUAGCCGACUGCUGUGUCUCACCACAAUAUCUAGCAGCUCCUUUUCAACAUUUGCUUCUAAUUUCUAGCCCAGGAAACAGUGCAUAUACCCCAGGCCUAACAGCACAUGUUUUUAAUCCCAGCACUCUGGAGGCAGAGGCAGAUGGAUCUCUGUGAGUUCAAGGCCAGCCUGGUCUACAGAGAGAGUCCCAAGACAGCCAGGGCUAUAUAGAGAGACCCUGUUUCAAAAAAAGAAGAAAAGAAAGAAAGAAAGAAAGAAAGAAAGAAGGAAGGAAGGAAGGAAGGAAGGAAGGAAGGAAGGAAGGAAGGAAGGAAGGAAGAAAGGGAGGGGGAAGAGAGGGAGGGAGAGAGAAAGAGAGGGAGGAAAGGAGGGAGAGAGAGAGGGAGGGAGGGAAACAGAGUAUGUAUUUAUUGAUCUUAUUGUUUAUCUAAUUGCCUUCUUCCUAAUCACACAAACAUUCAGUAUUCACCAGAACUUUAGGUAAAAAGACAAUUCCUCACUACUAAAUGUAACGGAAGUUAUGUAUAGUUGUAUAAUUAAAACUGAAAAAUACAAAUUAACGUGUUUAAACAUCUCAUUAAUUUGGUACUACAUUCUUUCAUUGUUCCAGGAAAAAAAAUGGAGGACAGCGGAGGCAGCCCAGUGAGUGAAGUACUUGCCACACAAGUGUGAGGACCUGAGUUUGGAUCCCCAGAGCCCACAUACAGCCAGGGGUGGUAACAAAUGCGGCCGUCCCCCGUCCUCCCCGCUCCCCAACAAGAAUCUCAAAGUGGAAGAAAAUCUCUUCUGUCAUCCAGCCAUCUCCAAGCUUCUGGACUUUAGCUGUAACUCGGACCAUAUCCGAAUCAUUCCACCAAGCUUUCAACUGAGGACUAUGUGGACAGUGAGAGUACCGUCAGAAUUGCCAUCAGCAAUGUUUUGCACAGAUGUGCUUGCGGGUCCAAAAACACAACCUUGGCUUUUACAUAAACACCCAAGCUCUGUCUCUAAUGGGACAGCAGGGACAUGCAGGAACAUAGUCUCUGUGAAGACAUCACCUUUCUCUUUGCACAUUUCCCCCCUUAGCUGAGAAAGCCUACCUAAGGACAGACAAAUGAUGGACUGCAGGUCCAUCAGCUUUGCCGACGGUGAAGACGUGUACGCUAAUCAGUUCUACCUCCCUCUACAGAUUGGAGGCCUCUGGGAACAACACAGCCCAUAGCUGUGUUUGUUAGUGCUGCUGCUGGCAUUUAGAAUUUUUCCAAAUUGUUUAGCUAUUUGUAAAAAAAAAAAUGUACAAGUCCAACUUCCACUUUAACAUCUAGCUUUCUUGAUGCUUGUAGGAAAAUCAGUUCUGCACGUUCUAGGUUUGCCAACCACAAGGCUGCAUUUAAUUGAGCCAAUCAGCAAGGGCCUCCCAGGCUCCCUAAAUCCUCUCUACCCUCUGUUGUCCACUGAGGCUGAGACCAAGUGUCCCUUAUCAUUCCAUGAUGUGCCUUUCCCGCUUUGGGAGGUUUAGGAGGAACAUGUAGGGUCUCUUUCCUAAGCAGGGAGGGAAUCUGAUGACUGUUUGCGGACAUUUCCUCUGCCAGCCCCCACCUCAGAUUUGUUGGGUGGUCCUCUGCCAUCACAGGUUCAAAGGCUAAGGAGGCUCUUUCAAGGUACAGAGCCCAAGAGUGGUCCUACAUGUAGAUUAGAUAAGGGGGAAGACAAGGCAACUACCCUGCUUCCUCAAGCCUCCCCUCACAUGCUCACUCAAAAGGGAGGCUCAAACUGCAAGACAGAUUUCAUCUCUCACCAGGGCACAAAGCAGUCUGUCGAGAAUUGCUGGGCUAACAAGGGACUAUUUGUUCUCAUUCAUAGUACCCUUAAAUGUCUAUAUGACUACCAGGUUUCCAAUUUCUUCUGACUUCUGUGUUUUUCUUUCAUAAGAAGCUCUCAGGCAGGACAGAUAGCUCAGCGGAUCAAACUGUUGGCACAUAAGCGUAGGAACUAGAGUUCAGAUCCCCAGCAACCAUAGGGCAGCCCACCUGUCAUCGCAGGGCUGGUGAGACAGAGACAAGAGCCACAAGAUACAACUGGGUAGCCAGAUGAGCUCCUGAUUGCGUGGGAGAUUCUGCCUUAGUAAAUAAAAGGAAGAGUGGUAGAGGAGAAUGGCCAAUACCAACCUCUGGUCUCUACACACACACAAACACAUCCAUCUGCAUCUGCACACCCAUGCUUCCUACACACACACACACACACACACACACACACACACACACAUAUACACACACACACACACAUACACACACACCCCUGUAAAAAAUAGUUCUCAAUACAAUGGUAUUCACUAAUGAAUUACUUGGGUCAAUGUGUUUUGACAUUUCCUUUGGUAUAGUCUAGGAAGAUUAAGAAAAAUAUAAGUGAAAUAAGUAAGGCCCAUUUCUUUCCUUCUGUACACUAUAGAGAGUAUAGUGUCACACUCUGUCCUGCUUUCUCUUCCUGUUACUCUGAGUUUGUUAACUACAACUGGGGACAUCUGACUUCUCCACGUAGUCUUCCAGAAAUCACACAUACUCCCCACUGUGAGCUUUUCAGAAUAGUUUCCUGUGUGUCAUUUAUAGCAUUUGAAUAAAAUAAAGUCAUAAUGAAGUUGGUUUUUUA